CCUACGGGAGGCAGCAGUGGGGAAUAUUGCGCAAUGGGCGAAAGCCUGACGCAGCGACGCCGCGUGAGGGAUGAAGGUCUUCGGAUCGUAAACCUCUGUUAGCAGGGAAGUACGGUCACUGUGCUAAUCAGCAGUGAAUUGACGGUACCUGCAAAGGAAGCACCGGCUAACUCCGUGCCAGCAGCCGCGGUAAGACGGAGGGUGCGUGCGCUAAUCGGAAUUACUGGGCGUAAAGCGCGCGUAGGCGGUAUGUCAAGUCAAGGGUGAAAGCCCCGCGCUCAACGUGGGAACUGCCUUUGAAACUGGCAAACUGGAGUGUGUGAGAGGAUAGUGGAAUUCCAGGUGUAGGAGUGAAAUGCGUAGAUAUCUGGAGGAACAUCAGUGGCGAAGGCGACUAUCUGGCCCAUAACUGACGCUGAGGAGCGAAAGCGUGGGUAGCAAACAGGAUUAGAUACCCCAGUAGUC
rnacentral:rRNA from 1 species